ensembl:lncRNA
AGCCAGCUUCUGCCGCCCGGGUCUGGUCCGUCGAGACCCCUGACCUUCGCUGCCACCCAUGUGGCUGCGCACCCGACCCCAACGGAUCUUCCCACAGACACCAGCAGCAUUUGGAGAUGCAAAACCACACCGACGACAUCAACAGCUCAUUAACGUCAGAUUGGGAAGAAAUCAUUCUCACUGGAAAUGACCGACCCGGGCUUCGGCAGUCAGUCCCCCAUUAUCAGCGACGAUGUCGAGAAUCAGGAUGGAGAGAAGCGCAGCAGAAGGGAACCAUUCACCAAGAAGCAAUGUUGUAGAAAAACCCAUAUUGCGACACUUCUCUUUGUUCUGUACGGUGGCAUGCUGGUGGCGCUGUUGGUGAAGGCCUACUACCCUGUGCCAUCAUCACCAAACUGCUCCCUACUCCUGGCACCCAUCCCUUCUGACGACAUCCUUAAACGGAUCUUCACUGGGAGGUGGAUCAUGCAGGAGGCGUACUCUAGUGACUCCCUUGAUCAGUAUGCCCUGACACACGCUAAGAGCUCCUGGGCAGAGUUCACCAGGAUGCCCGACGGCACCAUUAACCUGGACAUGGCCCACAUGCUGAGUGUCCCGCCAAACAGGACAAUGUGGUGUGUCCACCACCACUUCACGGGCAUUGAGCAACACAACAACACACUUCAACUCAAUCUGCCCGAGUUCAAAUCGUCAGCGACGUUCCAGUUCAUCAAGGCCUGCAAUGAAUGUCUGGCCAUGACGGCUAAAGCAUAUGUGCCUGGAUAUAGCCCUCUGGACUACCUGCUUGUCUAUGGUCUAUAUCCAGACUUACACGAGUAUUACAUCCGACCAACCAGACUGCAGGCCUCCUGCAAGCGCCUGGUGACCCCGCCUCCUUUCAAGUAUUAUGGAGCAGAACUCUGCCCGAAUGACGUGAAUGAGACAGAUUCUGCUGAGGCGAGAGGCAUGGAUUUUAAACACUUCUUUGUUCCACGGUGAUCAUAGUCUACAGGAAGAAAUCAAAUGGCUCUAUCAAAAACAAAUAAUCUCUCAUUGGAAAUAUUCCAUGUUUUUUUGUCUUUAAAGUGACACUAUUGUAUGCACAUAAAACACCUGCAUUUCAGCUUGACAAAACCUUGCUUCAUCUUUUAAUCCAUGGCAAUAUAUUGAUUUUCUAAAUACUUGUUACAUCCUUGAAUUUAAAUAAUAUUUUCUAUUGUGUUACUGAAACUAUAAAGGCAUUGAGUUGAUAUCUCUUUCACAUUGUUUUCAAAAGUUGUUUGUGUGUUACUUGCUGCGAGUACCAUAUCUUGCUAUAUUAUGAUUGUUUGCUGUGCUUUGCAAUCUAAUAAAUUGUUUGUCUAUGAUGUCAUUAUGUCAGUGUAUUUUCUUAUUUUAUCAAGGAAGCUUGAGUGCAUGAUUCACAGAAUUAGGUUGUGCCCACAGCAAAGUUUAUCAUUUAAGUUCCAUUUUAGUUUCCAAAUGUCUGCAGUUAAAACAAGUGUUUGGCUGUAGCUAAUUUUGAAAUCAGCUAUCAUACUGAUAGAAAACAGUUCCGCCAACAUGUGCACAACUGUGUAACAACUUGUAAAGUCUUAUGAUAAAGAUUCAAAAUCAGUUUCCAAAGAUUCUGGUAUGCAAGUGUGUGAGGAUGAUGGUUUGUUUAAGCUGCCUUUAAGAGUAUCAUAUACGAUUGUGUGAAAAUGGCAAGUGAUAAACUGAGACAUAAUUGAGGUAGUGCAUCAAAUUGUUUGUAUCGUAUGAAGACUGAUUUGAUGGCUUGCUCUACUCUAAUUCUUCUACACUUUCUAUUCCUACGUGACAAGAUACCCAUCUUGUCACGUAGAAGUAGUCAAAAUAAACCACUUGCAUGUAAAUCAUUGAAUUCACAUAUGAAGCAGAACGAAGAAAGCUUUGAGUGACUGCUCCUGAAAACUGCUUCAGGCAGGAGUUUUCUGAGUUCAGUGUGUGCGCUCAAGCAGAGCGAUGGCGGCCAACGUUGGUCUUGUGAAAUGCUUAGCUAGCCACAUUAAAGAUCUGCUCCAGUGAUUUUACUACAGGUACAGAUAUGAAUUAAAAAGGUGGCUCAGAAUUGUGAGCAACAGAUAGAAUAUACAUUUCAGGAGUAAUUUUCACGCUGGUACAAUUGUUUAAAACACAAAUUUGGUAUUCUGAUAGGAGUGUUCUGUGGGGCGAUUGUCAUUCAAUUCAAAAUGGAGAUCAUUUUGAAGUGGUCACAAAUACGAACAAGCUCUUUACAGCAUGUCUGCCAAGGUCUGCAACACAACUGGGUCCACUGCUGCUGGGCACAUCAGAUCAUGAUCAUGUCCAUAAAAAGCUUUUUGGUGAUUAGGUAAGGGGCUCAGAUUCAUGUCUGUAUGAAUAUGUUAAUGCUGGUUUCUGGGUCUAAUUUAGAGAGCUGUUACAUCAUAGAAUGAUCCAAGCAUGUGUCCUGUUGUUGGGACUAUUCAUGCGGACAGUAUAAUACCCUGAAGAGGACUGAUUCUCUUUCAGUAUGGCCGGUUAAUCACCGUUUCUGUUAUCUGUUCUGAGUGAGAUUCUGCCUGCUCUGCAUACAUAGGGUGCAAUAUAUGUGCCUAUAUGAUGAAAUAGGACACGAUAAAACAAAUACUUUUAGUUUACACUUUUUUAGUUUUGUUAAAAUGAAUGUGGGACAGUUUGGAUUGAAUCAUUGAGGCAGUUUCAGGAUAAUUUGAAUUGUGAGUAUUUUGCUAUUUGGUUUGGAUUUAUUUUGCAGUGGUUUUGAGGUGUUUUGGGGGUAUAACGUUUGUUGUGCUCUUUAUUGUUACUUACCUUUAUUCUUUAUUUGUUACUUUUUAUUGUUACUUACCUCAGAUCAAUUCCUGGUUUAACUAUCUAUCUCAAAUAAUUAUCUUCACUCCAUAUUGUUUGUAAAAUGGAAAUAAACAGACAGUCCUGGUUGAACAGAUGAGGCAUGUUCCAGUCUGGGGACUCUUGUCUUGGUAGCAGAUGUUUCUGAAUGCCUGUUCCUUCAGCUCGUCCCCUGGGAUUUCUUCUUAAUACUUCCUAGAAUAUUACACAGAGACCCAGUUUGCUUUCUUCCUCCUUCCACUUCAUUCACUCGGAUAUGAAUGACAUCCGCGAGAGUCGACGUAGUGUCGUGUGGAUUGGGAAUUCUUUAUUUAGGACACUGCAUACAAACUGCUUAUUAGAUGUUUGAUUGAGUUUCCAAGAAUACGAGUGGAAACGAGUUAAAUAGGAUGUUUCUGUAUUUUUCAGGUCAGAUUUUCUUCUCGUGUGUGUGUGAGUGUGCGUGCGUGUGUAUGUAUGCACCCGUGCGUAGGUGAGUGUGUGUGUGUGAGGUUGUGUGUGUGGGUGGGUGUGCAAACUGAUAUCCAAUGAGGUUCAAGGCACUGACACAACAUAGAAAUGAGUGUUACAUCUGAAGAAUGUGAUUUCGCCAAAUGUUGUCAUCCCCACUCAAGUGUUCCAUAAUCCAUCCAUAAUCCCCAACUCAGCACUGUUGAGGUACGGUUUAUAGUGCAUUUUAGAAAACAACAUAUAUACACACAAAUACAUGGACACACAAAAAACAACGUGUGUGGGGGGCCGUAAAGUCCAAACUUCAAUAAACUGCAUACAGAAAAUCACACACAAUGACAGAAUGUAUUAGUCCGUUUCGAUCUUUUGCGAUAUCGGCCAAAAUAUUAUUAAAUCUUACAAAUAUGUUUGAGUUCUCAUUGUAUUGUAGUUGUGACCCUUUUACCCUUUUUACAGACCUUUUUAAAAAGGACUCCCACAUCCUCUUAUAUCGGAUUUCCCUGAUGCACUUCAUCUUUUGGGUUAAGGGUUAAUAAAAAAAGCACACUCAAAUUCCAGGCCAAGUGUGUGUGAUUAUUCAAUCUCAAGUUGAUAUGGUGUGCAUCGGAUGCUUUGUUUCAGGCCGUUAUCACCUCCCAGGUUUGCCCAGGAAUGAGGUCAGGGAUGCAGUACAUUACAAAAUUGCUUUUAUAAAAGAACAUCUUUGGUCUGAAUGGAAAAAUGGGGGGAAAAUGUUUAAUUCAAAUGGAAGAUGUCUUUGGCUUGCCUUAUCCAGUUCAUUAUAUAUAUCAUACCAUAUUUGACCGACAAGCUAACCUGGUCCCUCAACACCACCUCCCUGGCGAAGAAGGCACAGCAACACCUGCACUUCCUGCGCCGGAUGAGGAAAGUCUCCCUCCCCCCUCCCAUCCUGAUCACCUUCUACUGAGGCGCCGUCGAGAGUCUGCUGACCAACUGCAUCUCCGUCUGGUGUGGGGCCUGCGAGGCCUCGGACUGGAAGUCUCUGCAGAGAGUGGUGAGAACAGCAGAGACAAUCACCGUGUACCCGCUCCCCUCCAUCGGGGACGUUGGGCAGAAGCGCUGCCUGACUAGAGCCCAUCUCCUCUGACUCCUCCCACCCUCACCACGGACUGCUUCCCAUGCUGAACUCUGGCGGGGGGUUCCGCAGCAUCCACAUUAGGACACCGAGGUUCAGUGACAGUUUCUUCCCCCUGGCCAUUAGACUGUUGGCCAACACCCACGGCCAAUAAAUAAACCAUCUACAAUGGUACAUCUGCAACCCGCGUACAAAGAUAGCAUUUUAACCUUUUUUACUUCAUGCCAUCUUUUUAUAUUCUUUUAUAUUCCACUUCACCAUGUGCCAAGGUAACGAAAUUUCGUUUAAUAUGUGCACUGGUGCGCUUAUUGAAUGACAAUAAAACAAUUCUAUGUCUAAGUCUAUAUUUGUAGAAAUAGCAUUAUAUUUCUUUAGAUUACUCACUAAUAUGCCAUUAUGGUGUCUCUAUUUCUGCUGCUAAUAAAAUACUGUACAUACAAUAUAUUAUUACGCAAGCAAAAAUAUAUGACCAAAUAGAUAUUUGCAUUUAAGUUAUGUUGAUUGUUUCACUGUACAUGGUCACUGUUGAUUUGAUUAUCUAUCUUUUUGGAAGAAAAAUUACAAAGAAACACGGACAGUAUCAUUAAAUCAAUUAUAAAUAUGACUAUGACCUGAUUUUUUGUUUUUGUUUUGGUACUGUAGCAAAGUCUUUGUAGAGGUGCUUUGUUACAUUGAGGUACUGCCUCGUCUGUGAGAUGCGGUUUGUUCCAGAGCUAACCAUAUACUAGACCGGACAAACAGACUUCAAGACUGAUCUCAGUGUGAGGGUGUUUUAUGUCUGGAGCGACCUUGCCGUCUGUCUCGCUCGUUGUCACAGAGAUAUGCAAUCACACUCAACUUUUGACCCUGUUCGUUCACGCUCAUUUGUCUCAGAGACGACCUUAACCUUUUUUUCCUCCAUAUGUAUGUAGCACGAUGACUUUCCUAUAUGUCCAAGACAUAGAUACACGAGACAAGAUAUGGGUGAUGAAUGCAAAUAAUUUUCUUCAUAUGCUUGCAUGUCUUGAUUUCUUAUUCUUUAUCAUUAUGGCAGAUAAAAAAGCAAUGAAAUACUAAAAGAUUCUUGAUCAAUAUAUUGAUAACCAUGAUGAAAAACUCAAUAUACUUUUUAUAUCUUCCCUUCAUUAUUUGAUCCAUAUGUCAAUUCCCUUUUACAUUGUCGCUAACCAUAUCCCUUUCCAUUUAUUUUUCAUGUCCCUUCAAGUUCAAUCAGUACAUCUUUUUCUUUCUGUACCAUUUUGUCUUCUUCAGUCCUCCUGCUCUCACUUACAGGUAUAGGCAAUGUCACAGAAAAUCACAUAGUUGCAUAACAAGACCAGUAC